rnacentral:tRNA from 1 species
GUGGAUGUAGUUUAAUGGUGAGAACCUCAGUCUUCCAAACUGAUGGUGCGGGUUCAAAUCCCGCCAUCCGCUCCA